AACUUGUUCAACCUCUUUAGCUGACUUUAAGCUGAGCUCUGAAUUGCCCUGCCAGAGAUCCAUGCCAGCCCGACACUCAGCAGCCUGUCACAGAAGCCCCGGCCUCAGGUCCUGGCUUCUUUGCGACUCGGACAAGGGUCCUAUGGCUCCCACUUGACAACUUACAGCAUCCUCUUCUUUCCCUUUCCUGGUGUGGGUGGAGGUGUGUGUGGCAGCGGCUGAGCUGCCUGUCUCUUUAAGAGAGAGAGAGGAAGGGAGGAAAAGAGGUGGGGAGAGAGAGAGAGAGAAGUGAAUCAGGAAGUAUGCUAGAACUAAGAGCCUGGGCUCUACGGUUCUGGGUAUCCCAGGGCUAUCAGAGGGGCAGGAGAGAAACCUCAGGCCCAGGGCCAUCACCACUAUCUCGGCCUCUGUGUGGAUCCUGGGAGUCCAUGGCUACCAGGAUGUAUUAGUCACUGCCCACGGUUGACUUCAAGGCCUGAAAUCCCUGGGGAUGCCACCCAGUCCCACGAGUCUGCAUUGCCCUGCAUCUGAGCUGGGAGAUGGGCUCGGCUCCUGAACUCGCCCCAGCCAGAAAACAUAACAUACACUUGCCGGGAAGAGUCUGCCUGACUCUGGGCCACUUGGAGUGCAGGUGGAAGGGAGCCAAGCCUGGGAGAUGCAGAGCACAGCUAAUUACCUAUGGCACACGGAUGACCUGCUGGGACAGGGGGCCACUGCCAGCGUGUACAAGGCGCGAAACAAGAAAUCCGGGGAGGUGGUUGCUGUGAAGGUCUUCAACUCAGCCAGCUACCGGCGGCCCCUCGAGGUGCAAGUGAGGGAGUUUGAGGUGCUGCGGAAGCUGGAUCACCAGAACGUCGUCAAGCUCUUCGCUGUGGAGGAAACGAAGUCGGAAGUACCCUCCUCCCCAAGCUUCCUUCUGUCCCGCGCACAGGGAGGCAGCCGGCAGAAGGUGAUAGUGAUGGAGUACUGCUCCAGCGGGAGCCUGCUGAGUGUGCUGGAGGACCCUGAGAACACCUUUGGGCUUCCUGAGGAGGAGUUCCUGGUGGUACUGCGCUGUGUGGUGGCUGGCAUGAACCACCUUCGGGAGAACGGCAUCGUCCACCGCGACAUCAAGCCUGGGAACAUCAUGCGCCUGGUGGGGGAGGAGGGGCAGAGCAUCUAUAAACUGUCUGACUUUGGGGCUGCUCGGAAGCUGGACGACGAUGAGAAGUUCGUUUCUGUCUACGGUACAGAGGAAUACCUGCACCCUGACAUGUAUGAGCGGGCGGUGCUUCGCAAACCCCAGCAAAAGGCGUUCGGGGUGACUGUGGAUCUCUGGAGUAUUGGGGUGACCCUGUACCAUGCAGCCACCGGUAGUCUGCCCUUCAUCCCCUUUGGUGGGCCCCGGCGCAACAAGGAGAUCAUGCACAGAAUCACCACAGAGAAGCCAGCCGGGGCCAUUUCAGGGAUUCAGAGGCAGGAAAAUGGGCCGCUGGAGUGGAGCUAUAGCCUGCCCAUCACCUGCAGACUGUCCAUGGGGCUGCAGAGUCAGCUGGUGCCCAUCCUGGCCAACAUCCUGGAGGUAGAGCAGGCUAAGUGCUGGGGCUUUGAUCAGUUCUUCGCAGAGACCAGUGACAUCCUGCAGCGAAUCGUCAUCCACGUCUUCUCCCUGCCCCAGGCGGUCUUACAUCACGUCUACAUCCACGCCCACAACACGAUUGCCAUCUUUUUGGAGGCUGUAUAUGAGCAGACCAACGUGCCCCCCAAACACCAGGAGUACCUCUUUGAGGGUCACCCUUGUGUCCUGGAGCCAAGCCUCUCAGCCCAGCACAUGGCCCCCACCGCUUCGGGCAGCCCUCUGAUUCUGUUCAGCGUGGCCAGUGACACACCCAAGGGGUUGGCCUUCAGGGACCCUGCUCUGGACGUCCCCAAGUUCGUCCCCAAGGUCGACCUACAGGCAGAUUACAGCACCGCUAAGGGGGUGCUGGCUGCUGGUUUCCAGGCCCUGUGGCUGGCGCGGGUCCUGCUGGAUGGGCAGGCGUUGAUGCUUCGAGGGUUACACUGGAUCCUGGAGAUGCUUCAGAACACAUGCCAGCAGACGCUGGAGGUCACGCGGACAGCCCUCCUCUUCCUCAGCAGCAGCCUGGCCAUCGAAAGACUCAGCAGCAGGGCUGAGAUGCCUGACUUCCAGGAACUAAAGGAGGCCACAGAGCUGAGGUCCAGGCUGCAGACUUUCUCAGAGGUCCUCUCUAGAUGUUCCCACAAUGUCACAGAGACCCAAAUGAGCCUGAGCUGCCUGGGCGGAGAGCUUUUGAAGAACCGGAAUCAGAUCCAUGAGGACAACAGAAGUAUCCAGAAGAUUCAGUGCUGUUUGGACAAGAUGCACUUCAUCUACAAGCAGUUCAAGAAAUCUAGGAUGAGGCCAGGACUCAGCUACAACGAGGAGCAGAUCCACAAGCUGGAUAAGGUGAAUUUUAGCCACUUAGCCAAGAGGCUGCUGCAGGUGUUCCAGGAGGAGUGUGUGCAGAAGUAUCAGGUGUCGCUGGUCACACAUGGCAAGAGGAUAAGGUACAGAAGGCCCAGAACCACCUGCACCUCAUUGGCCGCUCUGUGGCUGCCUGUAACGCAGAAGCCCAGGAAACACAAGAGAGCCUGAGCAAGAUCCUUGAUCAGCUCCUUCUGGACAGAGCACCGGGGGCUCAGAUCUCACCACACCCCAUGGCUCCUCAUCCCAGCCCUGAUCCCAAGGACCUGGUCUUCCACAUGCAGGAGCUUUGUAAUGAUAUGAAGCUGUUGGCCUUUGAUCUCCAGGACAACAACCGUCUCAUCGAACGGCUGCAUAGAGUUCCGCCAGCACCAGAGGUCUGAGCUCCAUGAGGUACACAAGGCACUCAGAAGCAUUAGAAUCACUCAUACUGCACCCCUGCACCUGAGACCAAAUUCCGGGCCAGCUCUGGUCCCAUCUCACCAGCCUACCUCCUUCUUGGCCACUGGCCAGCAAACUAGCAUUUUGGCCGCCUGUCCUCUUGGGAAGCAGCUGGGACAGGGACUCCUAGCCAUCCCGGACAGCACCCGCAGGAGAGCCUGCAGCUACCACUGCCUCAUCCAGACACCAAGACUGUUCCUCCUCACCCAGGCCUUGAGGUCUGAACUCAGGAGGGCCUUGGGAAGAAGAGCUGAGCCAUCCCACCAUUCUGCACGUCCAGGGACCAGCAGGCUCUUCUGGAGCUUCUCCAGGGUGCUGGAGCAGAGGACUUACUCGGCAAGGCUUCCCGUUGAACACAGCCUGCUAUUUCCUGAGUGACCCCAUCCCUGGCCACAGGCACCCAAUAAACAGCCUCUUUGUGCUGUG